rnacentral:rRNA from 1 species
CGGGGUGAGUAAUAUAUCGGAACGUGCCCUGGAGUGGGGGAUAACGUAGCGAAAGUUACGCUAAUACCGCAUACGAUCUACGGAUGAAAGUGGGGGAUCGCAAGACCUCAUGCUCGUGGGGCGGCCGAUAUCUGAUUAGCUAGUUGGUGGGGUAAAAGCCUACCAAGGCGACGAUCAGUAGCUGGUUUGAGAGAACGACCAGCCACACUGGGACUGAGACACGGCCCAG